GGAGGAAGGAAGGGGCCACGGCAGGUCGUUAUGCCCCGAAACUCUGGGGCCACACGCGGGCUGCAAUGGUAGUGACAAUGGGCUCCUAACUCGAAAGAGAGAGGCAAUCCACAAACACUACCACAGUUUAGACUGAGGGCUGUAACUCGCCCUCACGAAUAUGGAAUCCCUAGUAACUGCGUGUCAUUACCGCGCGGUGAAUACGUCCCUGCUCCUU
rnacentral:rRNA from 1 species